rnacentral:rRNA from 1 species
AACGAACGCUGGCGGCAGGCCUAACACAUGCAAGUCGAACGCUCUAGCAAUAGAGAGUGGCAGACGGGUGAGUAACGCGUGGGAAACUUCCUAGGGGUACGGAAUAGCUCAGGGAAACUUGGGGUAAUACCGUAUGAUGCCGUAAGGCCAAAGAUUUAUCGCCCUUAGAUGUGCCCGCGUCGGAUUAGCUAGUUGGUGAGGUAAUGGCUCACCAAGGCGACGAUCCGUAGCUGGUUUGAGAGAAUGACCAGCCACACUGGGACUGAGACACGGCCCAGACUCCUACGGGAGGCAGCAGUGGGGAAUCUUGGACAAUGGGCGCAAGCCUGAUCCAGCCAUGCCGCGUGAGUGACGAAGGCCUUAGGGUUGUAAAGCUCUUUUGCCGGGGACGAUAAUGACGGUACCCGGAGAAUAAGUCCCGGCUAACUUCGUGCCAGCCGCCGCCGUAA